GACGAACGCUGGCGGCGUGCUUAACACAUGCAAGUCAAACGGAAAGGCCUCUUCUGAGGUACUCCAGUGGCGAAAGGGUGAUCUAACACGUGGAUGAUCUGCCCUGCACUCUGGGAUAAUCCUGGGAAACUGGGUCUAAUACCGGAUAGGACCAUGCUUUAGUGUGUGUGGUGGAAAGUUUUUUCGGUGUAUGAUGAGCCCGCGCCCUAUCAUCUUGUUGGUGGGGUAAUGGCCUACCAAGGCGGCGACGGGUAUGCCGGACUGAGAGGUUGGUCGGCCACAUUGGGACUGAGAUACAGCCCACACUCCUACGGGAGGCAUCAGUGGGGAAUAUUGCACAAUGGGCGCAAGCCUGAUGCAGCGACUCCGCGUGUGGGAUGACAGCCUUCAGUUUGUAAACUCCUUUCGGCAGGGACCAAUCGUUUUGUGACGGCACCUGCAGAAGAAGCAUCGGCUAACUACCUGCCAUCAGCCGCGGUAAUACGUAUGGUGCCAGCGUUGUCCGGAAUUACUGGUCGUAAAGGGCUCGCACGUGGUGUGUCUCGUCUUCUGCGAAAUUCCGGGGCUCAACUCCGGGCGUGGAAGCGAUACGGGCAUGCUUGAGUGCUGUAAGGGUAGCUGGAAUGCCUGGUGUAGCGGUGAAAUGCGCAGAUAUCAGGCAGAACGCCGAUGGCGAAGGCAGGUUACUGGGCAGUUACUGACGCUGAGGAGCGAAAGCAUGGGUAGCGAACAGGAUUAGAUACCCUGGUAGUCCAUGCCGUAAACGGUGGGCGCUAGGUGUGAGGCCCUUCCACGGGUUUCGUGCCGUAGAUAACGUGUUAAGCGCCCCGCCUGGGGAGUACGGCCGCAAGGCUAAAACUCAAAGGAAUUGACGGGGGCCCGCACAAGCGGCGGAGCAUGUGGAUUAAUUCGAUGCAACGCGAAGAACCUUACCUGGGCUUGACAUGCACUAGAUCGCCUCAGAGAUGGGGUUUCCCUUUGUGGUUGGUGUACAGGUGGUGCAUGGUUGUCGUCAGCUCGUGUCGUGAGAUGUUGGGUUAAGUCCCGCAACGAGCGCAACCCUUGUCUUAUGUUGCCAGCAUUUGGUUGGGGACUCAUGAGAGACUGCCGGGGUUAACUCGGAGGAAGGUGGGGAUGACGUCAAAUCAUCAUGCCCCUUAUGUCCAGGGCUUCACACAUGCUACAAUGGUCGGUACAACGCGUGGCGAUACUGUGAGGUGGAGCUAAUCGCUGGAAAGCCGGUCGUAGUUCGGAUUGGGGUCUGCACCUCGACCCCACGAAGUCGGAGUCGCUAGUAAUCGCAGAUCAGCAAUGAUGCGGUGAAUACGUUCCCGGUCCU
rnacentral:rRNA from 1 species